AGCGAACGCUGGCGGCAGGCUUAACACAUGCAAGUCGAGCGGGCACUUUCGGGUGUCAGCGGCGGACGGGUGAGUAACGCGUGGGAACGUGCCCUCUGGUUCGGAAUAACUCAGGGAAACUUGAGCUAAUACCGGAUACGCCCUUUUGGGGAAAGGCUUGCUGCCGGAGGAUCGGCCCGCGUCUGAUUAGCUAGUUGGUGAGGUAACGGCUCACCAAGGCGACGAUCAGUAGCUGGUCUGAGAGGAUGAUCAGCCACACUGGGACUGAGACACGGCCCAGACUCCUACGGGAGGCAGCAGUGGGGAAUAUUGGACAAUGGGCGCAAGCCUGAUCCAGCCAUGCCGCGUGAGUGAUGAAGGCCUUAGGGUUGUAAAGCUCUUUUAUCCGGGACGAUAAUGACGGUACCGGAGGAAUAAGCCCCGGCUAACUUCG
rnacentral:rRNA from 1 species